rnacentral:rRNA from 1 species
UACAGAGGGGGCAAGCGUUGUCCGGACUGACUGGGCGUAAAGCGCACGCAGGCGGUUGUGGGCGUCGGUGCUGAAAGUCCACUGCUUAACAGUGGGAUGCGUGCCGAUACGCCAUAACUGGAGCGAUGCAGAGGCAAGUGGAAUUCCCGGUGUAGUGGUGAAAUGCGUAGAUAUCGGGAGGAACACCAGUGGCGAAGGCGACUUCCUGGCCUGUUCUUGACGCUGAGGCGCGAAAGCUAGGGUAGCAAACGGG